AGAUUUGGUGUGUUCCUCUACACAAGGAACAAUUGCCUGGAGACAUGAUUCACAGGGAGGAGGGAGUGCCUUCCUAGAAGAGCUAUCAUAAAAAGGCAGCGAUAAUGACCAGGAUCAGCAUCUAACUCACCCAGUGGCAAAGGGGCCACCACCCACAGAAGGUUUAAAAGUGUACACUCAACAGAUAAGCAGGGAAUGUGCUGUGAAGGAGGAGUCGGGAAUCUUACUGGCGGCCAUGUGAGAACAGCAGCUCUUUGAAUGCUGGGUACACAGUAGAUGCUCAAUCAGUGCUGACUGAAUGAAAGAACAAAGGGAUGAAAGAAGGAAUGAAGUUUGCAAAAGAUGAGGCUCUAGAUCCCUGCGACAGCAAGUUACCACAGAGGUAUACAGAUGGAGUGUAAUGAUGUCUACAUGACUUUGGAAGAAGCUUAGGAAACCUUUAAAAAACAUACAUAAUUUAUGAUACUGUUC
rnacentral:lncRNA from 1 species